CAGCCUUCUUUUUGGGGUAUGGUUUGAUUUGAAGUCUGAUCUAAGGUGUUCGAUUCAUCUAAAGGCU
rnacentral:tRNA from 1 species